UUUGCUACAUAAGACCUGCACUUCUACCUUAAAUGAAGGCAAUGAUCAACUUGCAAGUUUCUGGGGCUGGACUCGGCGAUGCAACAAACACCAGGGCAAUUAACAUGUUCAGGAGGAGGACAAAAGUUAGGAUCACAUAAGUGAUAAGCAGGAAGAGGAACAGAAUGGGAUAUUUGGAAUUCUGCUGAAUGUCGAGGUCUCCCAAGCCUAUGGUGAGUUUGAAAAGCUCCAACACAGCGUCGCUGAAACUGCCAUAGGAGCUGCAUUCGCUGUCAUUUUGGGGGCAUUUUUCUAUCAGUGAGGCGAGGGCUGGACCGAGAAAAGAUCAAAGAAACUGUG